rfam:Dipodomys ordii contig_33020, whole genome shotgun sequence.
GGGAAGCUGGCUCAGUGGUAGAGUGCUUGCCUUGCAUGCAUGAGACCCCGGGUUUGAUUCCUCGGCACUACA